rnacentral:lncRNA from 1 species
GAAUCAAGAUGGCCGCCUGGGACCGCUCUCAGCCCCUUCGGCCUCUACCUGAAGAGCCACGCCCCGUCUGCUACACCCAACUGAUUGGUUCCUCAAUCACAGAGAGGAAAGGCAACAUGAGGAUGACGUCAGUUACAAAUAUGGCGUUUUGGACGGGCUCGAUAGUUUGCUUGGCCUCUACUCAAGGAAUGCUGAUGGUAUAGCAAGAAGGUAUUCUGAGCAUUAUAUCAAUGGGGAAGUUCUAGAUCUUUUGCAAAGCAGGAGCAAGCUGCCCUGUUGUGAGCUCUCCGGUGGAGAGCCCCACAUGGCAAGAAAAUGAGAAGCCCCCUGAACAGACAAGAGCUGAGGCCCAGGAUACAAUAUCCUGAAAAAAACUGAAUCCUGCUGACAGUUGCCCAAGUGAAGCUGGAAGUGGAUCUUUCUGCAGUGGAUCCUUGAGAUGACUGUAGCCCUGGCUGACAACUUGAUUGCUGCCUGUGAAGGACCCUGAACCAGAGGACUCAGCGAAAUUGUGCCCAGAUUCCUGACCUACAGAGGCAGUGAGAUAAUAAAUGCUGUUGAGGUCACAAAGUUUUGAGCACUCUGGCCUCCUUGCUGUUCUUCAGUAUGGCAAGCAACCUGCUGCCCGGAGCCCACACACUGACUGUCCCCUCUCCUAGGACACUCUUCCCUCAAGGGCUCCCAUAUCUUGCCUGCUGGCUCCUGCAUCUUCUUCAAGUCUGCUCAAAUGUCACCUUCUCAGUGAGGCCCAUCCUGGCUAUCCUCUUUCAGUUCUGACAGAAAAUAAUUUAUUGCUUUAUUACAUCAUUAUUUUGUUGUCUUCCCUCCGUCUGUUCCUACUAAAAUUUAAUCUCUGAGAAAGCAGAAAACGUUGUCUUGUUCUUUCCUGUAACCCAAGUGCCUUGAACAUUGCCUCAUUAAUUGCUUGCGCUCAGUAAUAUGUGUUGAAUAAAUGGGUUAAGUAGUUUAUUAAUUGUGAAACUAAAUCCUGUCUGAAAGGUUUGGAGCAGCUUGUUGAAAUAGCAAAUGGAGAUUCUGUGUUUUAAGUUGUGGCUAAGGUAGAAUCAUCCAUGAUGUAUGUGGAGCCAGCUC